GCCUACGGCCAUGCCACCUUGAACAAGCCCGAUCCCGUCUGAUCUCGGAAGCUAAGCAGGGUCGGGCCCGGUUAGUACUUGGAUGGGAGACCACCUAGGAAGACCAGGUGCUGUAGGCA
rnacentral:rRNA from 1 species